UGGGGAAUCUUGGACAAUGGGGGCAACCCUGAUCCAGCCAUGCCGCGUGAGUGAUGAAGGCCUUAGGGUCGUAAAGCUCUUUCGCCUGUGAAGAUAAUGACGGUAGCAGGUAAAGAAACCCCGGCUAACUCCGUGCCAGCAGCCGCGGUAAUACGGAGGGGGUUAGCGUUGUUCGGAAUUACUGGGCGUAAAGCGCACGUAGGCGGACCAGAAAGUUGGGGGUGAAAUCCCGGGGGCUCAACCCCGGAACUGCCUCCAAAACUAUUGGUCUAGAGUUCGAGAGAGGUGAGUGGAAUUCCAAGUGUAGAGGUGAAAUUCGUAGAUAUUUGGAGGAACACCAGUGGCGAAGGCGGCUCACUGGCUCGAUACUGACGCUGAGGUGCGAAAGUGUGGGGAGCAAACAGGAUUAGAUACCCUGGGUAGUCCACACCGUAAAACGAUGAAUGCCAGUCGUCGGGUAGCAUGCUAUUCGGUGACACACCUAACGGAUUAAGCAUUCC
rnacentral:rRNA from 1 species